rnacentral:rRNA from 1 species
UACGUAGGGGGCAAGCGUUGUCCGGAUUUAUUGGGCGUAAAGAGCGUGUAGGCGGCCACACAGGUCUGCUGUGAAAACUCGAGGCUCAACCUCGAGCUGUCGGUGGAAACCGUGUGGCUAGAGUCCGGAAGAGGAGAGUGGAAUUCCCGGUGUAGCGGUGAAAUGCGCAGAUAUCGGGAAGAACACCCGUGGCGAAGGCGGCUCUCUGGACGGUACUGACGCUGAGACGCGAAAGCGUGGGGAGCGAACAGG